GAUGAACGCUAGCGGCAGGCUUAAUACAUGCAAGUCGAACGGUAAGGUCUCUUCGGAGAUACACGAGUGGCGCACGGGUGCGUAACGCGUAUGCAACCUACCUUUAACUGGGAAAUAGCCCCGAGAAAUCGGGAUUAAUGUCCCAUACUAUUCUGAGAAUGCAUAUUCUUAGAAUGAAAGCUCCGGCGGUUAUUGAUGGGCAUGCGUGACAUUAGCUAGUUGGUGAGGUAACGGCCCACCAAGGCUACGAUGCGUAGCCGACCUGAGAGGGUGAUCGGCCACACUGGGACUGAGACACGGCCCAGACUCCUACGGGUGGCUG
rnacentral:rRNA from 1 species